rnacentral:lncRNA from 1 species
GGGGCGCCGCGGGCCCGGUGCGCAGGCGCGGCAGCCUUCGCGCGUUUGGCGCGGGGUCCUGUUCCACGCCCGGCAGGGCUUAGGUCUGGCCGGAAGUGAUCUCGGCGCGUCUGGACUCCGGUGUGCCCGGGCGGCCCUCGCCGGCCAGAGUCAGACCCCGGCCCGGCGUAGGGGUCUUCCUCGUCGGGCCUGGCCCCGGGACUCAGCGCGCAGCCUCACAGUCUGGGCCUCGACCGGCCUGCGGAAUGGCCGACUUUUCCUUGGGUGCCUCCACAUCCAAAGUUCCUUUUUUUAAAGGUGGCUCCCUGGGUCUGGGGAAGCAAAGAAGGUGCUCAGGAUCUCCAGUAUCUGUUUUGCCCAUGACAGCCGUGUCAUUUGGAGCAGGAGGUUUCAAGGAGAUUCAAAACCUUUGUCACUGCUGCUGUCUUCCCAGAAGCUCCUUAAAUCCUCUUGAUUUCAUCACAUUAGUUGCAGUACACUCUGCCCGUGCAUGUGAAGCUGCAGAGGGCCGGAGAGGAUGGUUUCCUUUGCCUUCAAAACCACAAGCAAGAAUGCCACAGGAUCCAAGGAGCAAAAAUGAUUUGGAAGACGACAAGGUUGAGCCAGGGACAGCCAGUGUUACUGAUGACACAUGGGCAAGGUUUCCUGGCCAGUCUCUUUUGGGGACUGUGAUUUCCCAAGCAAAUGUCACUUGGUGACAAGGACUCCCACCAUUGGCCACCAGAGUGCCCCCUAAACUAUUUGAAAAAUCUAAGCCUUAAAUUAAAAUCAGAUUCAUGCAACUUAAUUGUAUUCCAGCAGUUUGAUUUAAGUGCCAGUUCUGUGUUCGAAAUAGAAGAGCGUCCUCAGGUUUUCAGUAAUGUAGAUUGGAAGGGCUGGUGCUUACUAGGAGGCCCAGCUCCUGAAGGCCUGAAGGCUUCCAAUGAGCAGACCCUAGGCCACACCCACUUAACACCACCAUCCUUCCUUUGAGGCUGCCUGAGAUAUCAGGAUAUUCCCCUUGGCUCAUGCCGCUGCACUUACACUGUUGAACACGACGGUGGAAUUGCCAUCCCCAUGCCACCCCCCGAAGAGAGAACCCCACUUCCCAAGAACAAUGGCACCUCCUCUCCUGGCCAAAGAAGCCAGCAGGAGGACUUGCCCGGCAGCAGCUUAGCCAGGGAUCCUCUGAGCUCCUCCCUUCGGCUUCUGGGGAGGCUGGGGAGCAUUCGUUACUGCUUCUAAGUGACUCUUACCUGGGUCUGCAUCUAGACCCACUCAGAGGAGAAAGAAUCUACUCACAGUUCCAUGUUUGGAACUGAAAGGUUCAUCUUUACUCAGACCAGGACAGUAGACAGUUACAACUUUGAGCUGAGAGAAAGCCUCAGCCUGGACACUAGUAUUAUGCAUGGUUCUUUACACUUGUCAACCACGAGGGAGAAGUUAAGUCGUGAGCAGGGGACCUUCACAAACAAACCGCUGGCUUACAUCUUCUUUAACAACAUGCUGGGC